rnacentral:rRNA from 1 species
AACGAACGCUGGCGGCAGGCUUAACACAUGCAAGUCGAACGGGCGUAGCAAUACGUCAGUGGCAGACGGGUGAGUAACACGUGGGAACCUUCCUAGGGGUACGGAACAACUCAGGGAAACUUGAGCUAAUACCGUAUACGUCCGUGAGGAGAAAGAUUUAUCGCCCUUAGACGGGCCCGCGUCGGAUUAGCUAGUUGGUGGGUAACGGCCUACCAAGGCGACGAUCCGUAGCUGAUCUGAGAGGAUGAUCAGCCACACUGGAACUGAGACACGGCCCAGACUCCUACGGGAGGCAGCAGUGGGGAAUCUUGGACAAUGGGCGCAAGCCUGAUCCAGCCAUGCCGCGUGAGUGAAGAAGGCCUUCGGGUUGUAAAGCUCUUUGUCAGGGACGAUAAUGACGGUACCUGAAGAAUAAG